CCACGUCCCGACGCACAUCCCCCCCCGGCGUUGGGACUUCCCAGAGCCGGGCUCCGGCGCCCACACCCCCCCGGGCGCCGGAGCCCGGCUCCUUU
rnacentral:ncRNA from 1 species